UUGGAGGGCAAGUCUGGUGCCAGCAGCCGCGGUAAUUCCAGCUCCAAUAGCGUAUAUUAAAGUUGUUGCAGUUAAAAAGCUCGUAGUUGAAUUUCGGGAUCAAUAUGUUGGUCGUGCCUUGGUACGUACUAGUUUAUUGGUUUCUUCCUUCUGACGAACCAUGAUGUCAUUAAUUUGGUGUCUUGGGGAAUCAGGACUGUUACUUUGAAAAAAUUAGAGUGUUUAAAGCAGGCUCACGCUUGAAUACAUUAGCAUGGAAUAAUGAAAUAGGACGUUUGAUUCUAUUUUGUUGGUUUCUAGGAUCGGCGUAAUGAUUAAUAGGGAUAGUUGGGGGCAUUAGUAUUCAAUUGUCAGAGGUGAAAUUCUUGGAUUUAUUGAAGACUAACUACUGCGAAAGCAUUUGCCAAGGAUGUUUUCAUUAAUCAAGAACGAAAGUUAGGGGGUCGAAGACGAUCAGAUACCGUCGUAGUCUUAACCAUAAACUAUGCCGACUAGGGAUCGGAUGAUGUUAAUUUUUUAAUGACUCAUUCGGCGCCUUACGGGAAACCAAAGUGUUUGGGUUC
rnacentral:rRNA from 1 species